rnacentral:rRNA from 1 species
GAGUUUGAUCCUGGCUCAGGACGAACGCUGGCGGCGUGCCUAACACAUGCAAGUCGAACGGAGAUUUUAGCAAUAAAAUCUUAGUGGCGAACGGGUGAGUAACGCGUAGACAACCUGCCUUCUAGCUGGGGACAACACUGCGAAAGUGGUGCUAAUACCGAAUGUUGUAUGUUGAGUGCAUGCUUAGCAUACUAAAGGUGGCCUCUAUUUAUAAGCUAUCACUAGAAGAUGGGUCUGCGUCUGAUUAGCUAGUUGGUGAGGUAAUGGCUCACCAAGGCGACGAUCAGUAGCCGGUCUGAGAGGAUGAACGGCCACACUGGGACUGAGACACGGCCCAGACUCCUACGGGAGGCAGCAGUGGGGAAUCUUCCGCAAUGGACGAAAGUCUGACGGAGCAACGCCGCGUGAGUGAAGAAGGUUUUCGGAUCGUAAAACUCUGUUUUCAGGGACGAAUGUGUGGAUUGUAAAUAAUGAUCCAUAAUGACGGUACCUGACAAGAAAGCCACGGCUAACUACGUGC